AAAACUGGCAGUCACAGGCCUCACCCUUCUCCCACACAGCCCGCAGUCCUAAAGGCCAGUCUCACUCCCACCUGCCCUGCAACAGCACAGAGUCUAUCUUGAGACAGCCAGUGACCAGGGCUAAGAACUUGCCCCAGACCACCAGCCUCCCCACUGAGAAAGCAAGCAGACUCACAGUUUUCUGGAAUCUCAGGGAGCCUGCAGCAGCGAUCCAGUUCCUUCAAAAGGAACUAGAGUUUCAACGAUUGCCAACUCCUCCUUCCAUGGGUGAUACAUAUCAAGAGGUUAGAGGGCCGCCCUGGUAUGAUAGGCUUUUCCACAAGCAGCUCCCUUUUGAAGAAAAGGGUCUCCAUCUUGUGUGCAGGGAAGUAUUCCUGGCCCUGUGAAAGUGAACUCAUUCAUCACAAGGGAGAUUUCUCCCACUUUUUUUCUAUAGGCUGGAUCCCUGAACGCUAACUGACAUCCUGCUUUUCUUAAGGGAUAUGGAAAUUUCCCUGGGACAGCUGUGCUCUGCUGGCUAAGGAGCCCACAAGGUUAAUGAACACCCACAAAGACUGAGGAGGAGAGAGAGUAUUCUUCACUGGAUGAUUAGCAUGCCGGCAUUCUUUCCUCUGUGGGGUGUCAGCUGUGACCCUCGAAGGAAAGGAAUCACCCUCUUUCUGACCUUAUACCACCUUCAGCAGGGAUGAAGGCAGUGAGAGAAAAGUUAGUUAAAAACUCCUGGAAGGGUUCAUGCAUCAGAAAACUGGAAAAUGAUGGAUGGAAAGGGAAUGGACCAGGCAACCUCCCCAGUUGACCAUGGUGGAGAAAAGAGAACUCAAACAGUUGGCUGCAGCACUCAACACCAAUGAUCAAGAAAAUAAUUGUACUUCUAAACUGCAAACAUGCUUAUAAAAAUUCAAAAUAAGAAAUUGUAAUACGAGCAUUGUGCUUUGUUCUUCAGUGAUUCAGCUGAUCAAAGCUGAUUGGAUUCAGCUGAACCCAAUAACUUACAGUGAAAAUUAUUUCUGUUAUUCGACACACAGCGACCUUUAUGUUCAUGAAACAGGCAUGUUCUCAACAAUGGGAUGUUACCAAAAUCUUAUUACUGGAUAUAGAAAUAAUAAAGAGGUAUGUUAUAAACCAGAUAAGUUUGUUCAUAGGAUAAAAAAAUGCCAUUGAAUGCUAACUAAAUAUAGUACCUGCAGGUAAUUCAGUGCCUAUUAUGGGACAGAUGUUGUGCUAAGCUCUUUCUGUGCAUUAACUAAUACUCCCAGUAGCAUGAUACAGCUGUUGAUUUCAUUUUCCAGACGGGCACAGAGAGUUUGAACAACUUUCCCAAGUUUGCACAACCAGUAUCAGAGCUAGGAUUCUAAUCCAGCUGGUUUGACCCCAGAAUCCGUACUGAGUGUUCUCUAACAUAAUAGAGAACAUGAAAUAUACGUCUUGGAGUACUUAGGGUAGGAGAGGAAACACAUGGCAGUGGCUGGGAAAUCUUAAUCUUAGACACAGAAGUGGCCCCAGUUCUUGGAAGAAAUGUUUGCUGGACCUUCAACCUCCUUUACUUCCAAUAGAGGAGAACCAGUGUCAUGCAUGUAGUGCGUGGAAGUGGAGGAGACGUUUAUUUAUUUUUCUGCCCUGAGCAACUCUGAAUGUUCUAAGUCCCCUUUCUUAUGGCAGGCUUUAUCAGCUCUCAGUCCAGCACUAAGCUGGACUGCUUGAGUCUGAAAUCCUGGUCUACCACUUUCUCCUUAUGUCGCCUUAGUUCCCAUUUGUCUCAAAGGCUUGCGCUGAAGAUUGAGUUGAUGCAUGUAGCCUGCUUAGAACAAUGCUUAGUGCUUGGUCUAUGAAUAUUAAUAUGAUUUAUAAUGCUUUUACAAAGGCCUCUCAGGGAGGUUCAUCUAGUCAACAUGUCUUCUUUUGUGUUUCCAGAAUCAGAAGCAAGAGCCUUGAAGUGAUGGUGGGGCAUGACAGGCACAGUUUUUAAGGUUUCAUUCCUUUCUGAUUACCCUGGUUUAAUCGGUUUUACCUUCAGACCGUACCCUCUUGUCCUUAUAUACUCUCCUGCCAGCUCACUUACAUGUUAAUUCCUAUAAUGGAGAACCCAAGCCUUUCAUCAUACAACUGGAGAAUAUAUUCAAGAGAUAAACUCCUGUGACUGAAAGUUAUCCAAUCAUUCAUGAAUUCUGGUGAGCAAAAACAGGCCACCUUCUUCUCUCAUGAAGGGUGCUCUCUAGUAGCAGGCAGACGAAUGCAUGAUCACACAAAUAAGGGGGAAAUUAUAACUGUGGCAAAUUUAACAACAUGAAAUUAUAGUAGGUGAAGGAAAUAUCAUUCCUGGCUAAAAGAGCAGCCUGUGUUAAAACGGUGGAGAAAACAUGAUAAGAAAUAGAAGAUGGCCAGGUAGGUGAAGUGCAGACAGAAAGAGAAGAAGGGAUAGAGACAGUUUGGAAAAGAUGAGAUGCUAUAGCUGUAGGCAGCAGCUAGGCCAAAAUAUUUCAAUCCUUUUUCAUCCCCUGAGAACAAUGGGAACCACUGAAAGAGUUUGAGCAAAAAUGAGGUAUCAGAUUUUUUCAUUUAGACAUCAUUUUGCCUCUUUUAAUCCAGUGUUCAUCACACCCAUAGUCACCCAUUUAAGUGCACAACUGUAGCAUCUCCAAAUGUCUAAAGUUCUUUUUCAAGUUCCUUUGUGUAUGCAUUCAUUCUUUCACAAGCUAUUAUUAUGAAUAGUUAUUAUUGGCUAUUGAGCUCCUGCACUGUGUAUGAACACUUUGCUAGACUCACAGCACAUGAAUACAAUUAGUUAGCACAUGGUCCAUCAGGGAACACAGGAUAAAAAGGUAAAUUACGAUAGUGUGAUCAUUGGUGGGAGAGAGGGAACUUCAAAACAGAACUGAAAGGAGCCAUUUAAUCUUGCUUUGGAAGAGGGUAAGCCUCGGGUGAAGUAAUA